GAGGCCUCCUCAUCCUCAUCCUCAUCCCUAUUCCCAUCCCUGUUCCCAUCCUCAUCCCUGUCCCUAUAUCCCUGUCUCCUGAAUCCCUGUAUCCCCAUCCCCAUAUCCCUGUAUCCCUGUCUCCUGUAUCCCUAUCCCUGUAUCCCGAUCCCCAUCCCUGUCCCUGUCUGUCUCCUGUAUCCCCAUAUCCCCAUAUCCCUGUAUCCCUAUCCCUGUAUCCCCAUCCCUAUAUCCCUAUAUCCCUGUCUCCUGUCUCCUGUAUCCCUAUCCCUAUAUCCCUAUCCCUGUUCCCAGGAGCACAGCUUCAUCCGCCGCUAUGAGGCUCAGGACGUGGAUGUUGCCUCCUGGUUCAAGGAUGUCAUGGCAAGAACUGAGUCCCCUCGAGGAGGCUCCAGCCUGGCCCCAGCCCCACCCCCACCCCCCGUUCUUCACCAGGUAGCACCCAGGCAGCCCCGGCCCUGGCCCAGUACAGACCAGUGUGUCCCAGUACAGCCCAGUGCAGACCAGUGCAGACCAGUGCGUCCAGUGCAGCCCAGUGCAGCCCAGUGCAUCCCAGUGCGUCCCAGCACAUCCCAGUGCAUCCCAGUGCAUCCCAGUGUGUCCCAGCACAUCCCAGUGUAUCCCAGUGCAUCCCAGUGUGUCCCCUCCAGGGCCCAUCCCUGUGAUGCUGCUGGCACAAGGGGUCACCUGCAUCCCCCCCAUGUCCCUCAGCAUCCCGGUGGGAACAGGGAUGGGGACAGGAGGUGGCAGCAGGAUAUGGACAUGGAUGUGAUGGGAGCAGGGACACGGAUACGAUGGGACAUGGAUGUGAUGGGAACAUGGAAUGGACAUGGAUGCGAUGGGAAGAUGCUUUGGAAUGUGCCAGAUGGACAUGGACAUGGAUGUGACACAGGGACAUGGACAUGGAUACGAUGGGAACAUGGACAUGGAUGUGAUGGGGACAUGGACAUGGAUGUGACACAGGGACAUGGACAUGGACAUGGAUGUGAGCCAAGGAUGUGGCAGGAGGAGGUUUGGGAAUGGGGCCUGGAGCUGGUCCAGGACAAGGAACAUUGGGAUGGGACACGGAGCUCUGGACAACAGGGGGGCAAUGGGAUGGCACCGGGAUAA
rnacentral:lncRNA from 14 species